rnacentral:lncRNA from 1 species
CCGGCGGGGUGUGUGAUCAUGGUAAGGACGUCGCGAGUAAGCUAGAUAUAUUGUUUACGGAUCGGUUAGGAGAGAAUAAUUUUUUUUGUUUAAGUAAGAGAGAAGUAAUAUUUUGGGUUUAAACGAAGUAUACUGAGAGAUAUUGGAAUGUAAUAGUUUUAAAUUUGUGGUUUAUUUAUUCUGAUACCUUUUUAUCCUUAUAAUAGGUUGGAAUAUAUUUCCGCUUCGUAUAAGGUUAAAAAAAAGUUUAUUUAUUCGGCAGGUAUGUCACGAAGCGAUUCGCGGGUUUUGGAAACGAGACAAUCUCAGUGUCAGCGAUGCUUUUAGCAUAUCUGACGUGCCCUAAACAGGUUUGGAGUGUAACUAUUUCUGAUAACACAAAAUAUUUUUCUAUCUGACGUGCCCUAAACAGGUUUGGAGUGUAACUAUUUCUGAUAACACAAAAUAUUUUUCUUAAAUUAUCACUGAACAAUUUUUUUUUAUUUUUUUAUGAUAUUUAAACAACGCCAACGCACGAAAUCCU